rnacentral:miRNA from 1 species
ACUUAGUUUAUAUGACCUAC